rnacentral:lncRNA from 1 species
AUUUCCUCACCGUGAUUUGGCAAGUAGGGCGAUGAAUGGGUUUGGUUGAUGAGGCCAGUAAUUCAAACAUAUAACUGUACGUAGUUAAUUAUGAUCAUCCGAGGAAAAUUAAGAAGGAGACUAAGAAAGUAGAAUUAAGCUCUAAUACAAUAUACAUAGUACUGUCUAAUUAAUAAAUGAUCAAGUUGAAACAAAUGAAAACACCAACCAAACCCAGAGAAAUUGAAGAAGAGGAAACCAAAAAUUGAAAGAAACCCAUUAUAUUUCCUGAUCACCUGUUAGAAAUGGGGUUGGGACCGCUAGGAACUUCGUGCUCGCUGCCAUUGAACAUCAUCGAGCCUUGUUUUUGCCACGGCAAUGGCCGAAACCCACGCCCAGUCCUCCUAUUACUGGGUCUGGGUCUGGGAUUGGGUUGGAAGCUUGCACCGUCAUCUCUCCCAGCAGAAACAUGUUGUGAUACUAGUUUCUUCUCAUAGCUAUGCUCCUCCUGAUGAUCAGCUGCUGCUGCUGCCAUUGUAGUAGUAUCUAUGUGAAUCAUGAAAAAGAGGAGGAAGAAAACGACAAGAGAGAAAGAAACAUGGGAAGAAUAAAUGACUAGGGCUACUGGUGAAUGUAGUCUAGCCAUGCAAAAUGGUUAUUAGCUCUGAUGAUCACAGCUGCAACCAUACACAUAUAUAACAUCUAACCAAAGGGAUAUUUGCUGAUGAUGAAGCAGCUAGCUAGCUACUCAAGCCAGGUAAAUGAAGUAAUAUGGAGUCUUGGACAAGAUAUCCUACUUUUGUUUUUUUAUGGUUUCCCCCAAAGAGCUAGACUUUUAUGGAAAAUGAAAACAGUAAUGGAAAAGGGACAUAAAGACAACAAGGAAGGGAGAAACACAAACGACCAUAUAUGAGAAAGGCAAG